AUUGAACGCUGGCGGAAUGCUUUACACAUGUAAGUCGAGCGGCAGCGCGGGGGCAACCCUGGCGGCGAGCGGCGAACGGGUGAGUAAUACAUCGGAACGUGUCCUUAAGUGGGGGAUAGCUCGGCGAAAGCCGGAUUAAUACCGCAUAAGCUCUGAGGAGGAAAGCGGGGGCUCCGUAAGGACCUCGCGCUGUUGGAGCGGCCGAUGUCGGAUUAGCUAGUUGGUGGGGUAAAGGCCCACCAAGGCGACGAUCCGUAGCUGGUCUGAGAGGAUGAUCAGCCACACUGGAACUGAGACACGGUCCAGACUCCUACGGGAGGCAGCAGUGGGGAAUUUUGGACAAUGGGGGCAACCCUGAUCCAGCCAUUCCGCGUGAGUGAAGAAGGCCUCGGUU
rnacentral:rRNA from 1 species